GUUCCCGUUGAGAUGCGAGGUACUGUGUGAUGGACUGCUUGGCCUAACGUGCCUUUUCCUUCUGAGACCUGGAUGACAUUUGCCUCUGGAACAUUCUUUCAGAGCAACAGGGGAGGUGACACAAUGAGGCGGGGAGGAUAAAAGAAUCGGCGCACGGUCAAGUGACACUUUGAGGACAGUAGUGGCAGGAACCUUACGGUAUUCUCCAAAGCCCAGUGUUCGCCUCGUUGCGCACCUUCCCCAUUCACUCACCUUUCUCAAUGUGAAAUCUUUU
ensembl:lncRNA